AGAGUUUGAUCCUGGCUCAGGAUGAACGCUGGCGGCGUGCCUUAAGCAUGCAAGUCGAAUGGUCGCAAGACAAUGGCAGACGGGUGAGUAAUAUAUAGGAAUCUACCCUUCAAUGGACCAUAGCUCAUCGAAAGAUGGGGUAAUAGUCCGUGGUCUCGUGAGAGUAUAGAUCUUAACUGAUCGUUGAAGGAGGAGCCUAUAUCCUAUCAGCUAGUUGGCGGGGUAAAAGCCCACCAAGGCGAUGACGGGUAGCUGGACUGAGAGGUCGGUCAGCCACAACUGCACUGAGAUACGGGCAGUACACCUACGGGUGGCAGCAACUAGGAAUAUUGCGCAAUGGACGAAAGUCUGACGCAGCGACGCCGCGUGGAGGAUGACAGCUCUAGGGUUGUAAACUCCUUUUGAUAGUCCAUUCACGGACUAUAGAAUAAGCACUUACUAACUACGUGCCAGCAGUCGCGGUAAUACGUAGGGUGCAAGCGUUAUCCGGAUUCAUUGGGCGUAAAGUGUGCGUAGGCUCCUUUAAAAGUCGCGUCUUAAAUGCUUAGGCUUAACCUGAGAACAGGAUGCGAUACUAUAAGGGUUGAGGAUUGACAGGGAUGCUGGAACAGCUAGAGUAGCAGUGAAAUGCGUUGAUAUUAGCUGGAACACCAAAGGCGAAGGCAAGCAUCUAGGUUUUUCCCUGACGCUGAGGCACGAAAGCUAAGGUAGCGAAACAGAUUAGAUACCUGUGUAGUCUUAGCUGUAAACAAUGUUCGCUAGCUCUCACUUAUCAAGCACAUAAGUGCAAUUAAUAAUUAUUAAUUAUGAAUUAUUAAUUUCAAAAACACUUGUGUUUUUGAUUAGUGGGGGCGUAAGUUAACACGUUAAGCGAACCGCCUGGGGAGUACGGCCGCAAGGCUAAAACUCAAAGGAAUUGACGGGGACCCGCACAAUCUGUGGAGCGUGUGGUUCAAUUCGAGACAAAACGAAAAACCUCACCAGGGUUUGACAUAUUAUCGUACAUUUCUCCGGAAACGGAGAGAAAUUCGCAAGAAUGAUAUUACAGGUGCUGCAUGGCUGUCGUCAGCUCGUGCCGUGAGGUGUUCCCUUAAGUGGGGAAACGAGCGCAACCCCUAUUUAAUGUUAAAUAUUCAUUAGAGACAGCCCCAUCUUUAAGAGCACAAGAAAUUGUACUUUUGAAGAUGGGGAGGAAGGAAGGGAAGACGUCAAGUCAGCACGGCCCUUAUACCCUGGGCUACACACACACUACAAUGGCGAAAAACAAUGAGUUGCAAGCCGGUAACGGCAAGCUAAUCUCUGAAAUUUCGUCUCAGUUCAGAUUGGGGGCUGAAACCCGCCCCCAUGAAGUUGGAAUAGAUAGUAAUCGCGGAUCAGCAAGCUGCGGUGAAUACGUUCUCGGGUCUUGUACACACCGCCCGUCAAGGCAGCAAAGUCGGGGGUGGCCGAACUUCGAUUAUGUCGGGGGAGGCCAAAUUCGGCGAUGAAGCUUAAGUCGUAACAAGGUA
rnacentral:rRNA from 1 species